rnacentral:rRNA from 1 species
UUCCGGUUGAUCCUGCCGGACCCGACUGCUAUCAGAAUAGGACUAAGCCAUGCGAGUCAACGUAGCAAUACGUGGCAUACGGCUCAGUAACACGUAGUCGACAUGCCCAGGGGACGUGGAUAACCUCGGGAAACUGAGGAUAAACCGCGAUAGGUCAUAAUAUCUGGAAUGAUUUAUGGCUAAAAUCUAUAUGGCCCCUGGAUUGGACUGCGGCCGAUCAGGCUGUUGGUGAGGUAAUGGCCCACCAAACCUAAAACCGGUACGGGCUCUGAGAGGAGAAGCCCGGAGAUGGGCACUGAGACAAGGGCCCAGGCCCUAUGGGGCGCAGCAGGCGCGAAAACUCUGCAAUAAGCGAAAGCUUGACAGGGUUAUUCUGAGUGAUUUCCGCUAAGGAGAUCUUUUGGCACCUCUAAAAAUGGUGCAGAAUAAGGGGUGGGCAAGCCUGGUGUCAGCCGCCGCGGUAAUACCAGCACCCCGAGUGGUCGGGACGAUUAUUGGGCCUAAAGCAUCCGUAGCCGGUUCUACAAGUCUUCCGUUAAAUCCACCUGCUUAACAGAUGGGCUGCGGAGGAUACUAUGGAGCUAGGAGGCGGGAGAGGCAAGCGGUACUUAGUGGGUAGGGGUAAAAUCCGUCGAUCCAUUGAAGACCACCAGUGGCGAAGGCGGCUUGCCAGAACGCACUCGACGGUGAGGGAUGAAAGCUGGGGGAGCAAACCGGAUUAGAUACCCGGGUAGUCCCAGCUGUAAACGAUGCAGACUCGGUGAUGAAUAGGCUUCGCGCCUCUUCAGUGCCGCAGGGAAGCCGUUAAGUCUGCCGCCUGGGGAGUACGGUCGCAAGACUGAAACUUAAAGGAAUUGGCGGGA